GGUAAACGCUGGCGAUGUGCCUAAGACAUGCAAGUCGAACGAUGAGGAAAAGCUUGCUCUUUCGAUUAGUGGCGGACGGGUGCGUAACGCGUAGGAAUCUACCUAUUAGUGGGGGACGACUUAGGGAAACUUAAGCUAAUACCGCAUACGCCCUACGGGGGAAAGAAGGGGAUCGCAAGACCUUUUGCUAAUAGAUGAGCCUGCGUAGGAUUAGCUAGUUGGUGGGGUAAAAGCUCACCAAGGCGACGAUCCUUAACUGGUUUGAGAGAAUGAUCAGUCACACUGGAACUGAGACACGGUCCAGACUCCUACGGGAGGCAGCAGUGGGGAAUAUUGGACAAUGGGCGAAAGCCUGAUCCAGCAAUACCGCGUGUGUGAAGAAGGCCUUAGGGUUGUAAAGCACUUUCAAUUGGAAGGAAAACCUCGAAGCUAAUACCUUCGAGUUUGACAUUACCUUUAGAAGAAGCACCGGCUAACUCCGUGCCAGCAGCCGCCGUAA
rnacentral:rRNA from 1 species